UACGUAGGGAGCGAGCGUUGUCCGAAGUUACUGGGCGUAAAGCGCGCGUAGGCGGGUUAGUAAGUCGGAGGUGAAAGGCUGGGGCUUAACCCCAUGCAGUGCCUCCGAUACUGCUAGUCUUGAGGGCGGUAGGGAGAAGUGGAAUGGCUGGUGUAGCGGUGAAAUGCGUAGAUAUUGGGAGGAACACCAGUGGCGGAGGCGGCUCACUGGACCGGUACUGACGCUGAUGCGCGAAAGCGUGGGGAGCAAACGGG
rnacentral:rRNA from 1 species